GGAGGCGAUUUAUUAAGUUAAAUAUCAAAUGCACAAGCUCAACUUGUGUCUUUAUUUAAAACUGAUAUUUUAGAGUGUGAUUAAGGUUAAUGGAACUCUAUGUGUAGUGGUGGAAUACUUUGAUACAUAGAUGAACACCAGCGGCGAAGGCGAUUAACCGAAUCAUUACUGACGCUGGGACACGAAAGCAUGGGUAGCAACUAGGAUUAGAUACCCUACUAGUCCAUGCCGUAAACGAUGAGUACUAAAUAUUGGGAUAACUCAGUGUUUAAGUUAACACGUUAAGUACUCCGCCUGGAUAGUAUGCUCGCAAGAGUAAAACUCAAAGGAAUUGACGGGGACCCGCACAAGCGGUGGAGCAUGUGGUUUAAUUCGACACAACGCGAAGAACCUUACCAAGGUUUGACAUCUUCCUGCAAAGCAUUAGAAAUAUUGUGGAGGCUAUCAGGAUGACAGGUGGUGCAUGGUUGUCGUCAGCUCGUGUUUUGAAAUGUUCGGUUAAAUCCGGUAACGGGCGCAACCCUCAUCCUUUAUUGCCAAUAUUAAGUUAGGGACAUUAAGGAGACUGCUAGUUUAAGCUAGAGGAAGGUGAGGAUCACGUCAAAUCAUCAUGCCCCUUAUAUCUUGGGCUACACACGUGCUACAAUGGUUGGGACAAUAAGUAAAACGCAAAUAUGCAAAUAUAAGCUAAUCUAUAAACUCAAUCUCAGUUCGGAUAGACGUCUGCAAUUCGACGUCUUGAAGUUGGAAUCGCUAGUAAUCGCAAAUAAGAAUGUUGCGGUGAAUACGUUCCCGGGUCUUGUACACACCG
rnacentral:rRNA from 1 species